UUUGCGUCGGGUAGAGCUUGCUCUUUGCCGACGAGCGGCGGACGGGUGCGUAACACGUAGGAAUCUGCCUGGUAGUGGGGGAUAGCCCGGAGAAAUCCGGAUUAAUACCGCAUACGCCCUACGGGGGAAAGCAGGGGAUCUUCGGACCUUGCGCUAUCAGAUGAGCCUGCGUCGGAUUAGCUGGUUGGUGGGGUAAAGGCCUACCAAGGCGACGAUCCGUAGCUGGUCUGAGAGGAUGAUCAGCCACACUGGGACUGAGACACGGCCCAGACUCCUACGGGAGGCAGCAGUGGGGAAUAUUGCACAAUGGGCGAAAGCCUGAUGCAGCCAUGCCGCGUGUGUGAAGAAGGCCCUAGGGUUGUAAAGCACUUUCAGUGGGGAGGAAAGGUUGAAGGUUAAUACCCUUCAGCUGUGACGUUACCCACAGAAGAAGCACCGGCUAACUCCGUGCCAGCAGCCGCGGUAAUACGGAGGGUGCGAGCGUUAAUCGGAAUUACUGGGCGUAAAGCGUGCGUAGGCGGCUACCUAAGUUGGAUGUGAAAGCCCCGGGCUCAACCUGGGAACUGCAUCCAAAACUGGGUGGCUAGAGUACGGGAGAGGAGUGUGGAAUUUCCUGUGUAGCGGUGAAAUGCGUAGAUAUAGGAAGGAAC
rnacentral:rRNA from 1 species